GGGGAAUAUUGGACAAUGGGCGAAAGCCUGAUCCAGCAACGCCGCGUGUGUGAAGAAGGCCUUAGGGUUGUAAAGCACUUUCAAUGGGGAAGAAAAAGCCAAAACUAAUAAGUUUGGAAAUUGACGUUACCCAUAGAAGAAGCACUGGCUAACUCUGUGCCAGCAGCCGCGGUAAUACAGAGAGUGCAAGCGUUAAUCGGAAUUACUGGGCGUAAAGCGCGCGUAGGCGGGUAUUUUAGUCGGAUGUGAAAGCCCUGAGCUUAACUUGGGAAUUGCAUUCGAUACUGGGUGUCUGGAGUAUGGUAGAGGGAAGUGGAAUUUCUGGUGUAGCGGUGAAAUGCGUAGAUAUCAGAAAGAACACCAGUGGCGAAGGCGACUUCCUGGACCAAUACUGACGCUGAGGCGCGAAAGCGUGGGGAGCAAACAGGA
rnacentral:rRNA from 1 species